GCUAUUUGUUAAUUGAGCAGAACUGAUUAAAUUUUAUGGAAAACCAGAAACUGUUGCAAUAGAAGAGUGGAGGUUGCCCUGUCUGUUCUCCGCGUGUGUUUACUGUCAUUUAAAAUGUGUUUCCUGAUCCCAGCUGCCUUGGAGAAGACAACACUUUCAAGAUGUCAUCCCUGUCCGUUGCUGGAGAGACAAAAUCAGAAGGAAUGAAAGGAGUCUCUGACACUUUGAUACAACUUUAUUGAGAAGUUUAUUGAUAUACAACGAACUGCAUGAUUUGAUUAGUUUGGACAUCAAACACCUGUGAUACCAUC